rnacentral:lncRNA from 1 species
AGAAGACUAUAGAUAUCAUUUUACUUAUUCUACAAAUUCCUUUUAAAAUAAACAUGUAGAAGAGGAUUUGAAUGCAGGGAAAGACUAAGCGCAUGAGUUCUACUUGUUAGGGUCACACAAUUAACCGUAAUCCAAACCACUAAAAUAUGAAGAAACACUACAAUGCUUCCUCCUAAUAACAAUAUUCCUUCAUCAUUUAUUAACAAUAAUGUGUAACCUUGCACUCUCAAAAGAUUGCUCAAAAUACAUAAAUUCCAUCUAACACCAAAAAUAACAGACUUCACUCUGACCAAUCUAGAUUCACACAAUUUCUAUAAUCACAGACUUCCUUUGUCUAAACACACACAACUCUCAAUAAAUAACAAUCAUAAUCUUCCAUCUUUAAUCAAUCUUCCAAUAACUUCUCAUAUAAUUCAAUCACACAGUACUCCAAUUAUAUAAUCAAUAACUCAUAAAUCAAUCUCUCAUUUAUUCCACAAAUUUAUCUCUCAGUAUUCAAAAACUAUCUAUUAUUCUUUGACAACAAAGAAAAAAAGAGGUAGCACCAAGCUUAUCCCGGCUCAUGACUAUCACAGUCUUGCUCUUAAACUAACUUCUAUAUACUUUAUAUACAUUCCCCUAAUUUUCCAGAUUCUAACUGUAAUUCUGUUAUUAAUUACUUUUAAUAACUAAAUUAAUCAUUUAUCCUCCUAAAUUGCCUAUUCUACAGACUAUUAGUAUAUUUUAUGAAUAUCUUUUAAAAACGAAUUAAUAUCUAUUCUACACAAUCCUAUUCCUAUUUAUGUAGUAUCCUCACAAACACACAAUUGAUACCUAUCUAAAAAACUACUUAACAAAACUCUACAAAAUUA